AGAGUUUGAUCCUGGCUCAGGACAAACGCUGGCGGCGUGCGUAACACAUGCAAGUCGGACGAGGGGGAGCGUCUUUUCGGAGAGGCUUUCUUGAGUGGCGGACGGGUGCGUAACACGUGGAUAACCUGCCCUGGUGUGGGGGAUACCCUGUAGAAAUACGGGCUAAUACCGCAUGUGGUCGCUUGUAGGGAGCUAGAAGC
rnacentral:rRNA from 1 species